UACGUAGGGGGCAAGCGUUGUCCGGAUUCAUUGGGCGUAAAGAGCGUGUAGGCGGCCAGGUAGGUCGGUUGUGAAAACUGGAGGCUCAACCUUCAGAGGUCGACCGAAACCAUCUGGCUAGAGUCCGGGAGAGGAGAGUGGAAUUCCUGGUGUAGCGGUGAAAUGCGCAGAUAUCAGGAAGAACACCCGUGGCGAAAGCGGCUCUCUGGACAGUUCCUGACGCUGAGGCACGAAGGCCAGGAGAGCAAACGGG
rnacentral:rRNA from 1 species